ACGUUGGGGGUUCAGUGGCAAAAUUCUUGCCCUCCAUGCAGGAGACCUGGGUUCCAUUCCCAGCCAAUGCA
rnacentral:tRNA from 1 species